rnacentral:rRNA from 1 species
GAUGAACGCUAGCGGCAGGCCUAAUACAUGCAAGUCGAACGGGAUCCAGAUCAAAGCUUGCUUUGGUUUGGUGAGAGUGGCGCACGGGUGCGUAACGCGUGAGCAACCUACCCUUGUCAGGGGGAUAGCCCGGCGAAAGUCGGAUUAAUACCGCAUGACAUCAUUGAGAGGCAUCUUUCGAUGAUCAAAGAUUUAUCGGACAAGGAUGGGCUCGCGUGACAUUAGCUAGUUGGUAAGGUAACGGCUUACCAAGGCUACGAUGUCUAGGGGCUCUGAGAGGAGAAUCCCCCACACUGGUACUGAGACACGGACCAGACUCCUACGGGAGGCAGCAGUAAGGAAUAUUGGUCAAGGGACGGAAGUCUGAACCAGCCAUGCCGCGUGCAGGAAGACGGCCCUAUGGGUUGUAAACUGCUUUUAUACGGGAACAAACGUCGGUACGUGUACCGGUCUGAGUGUACCGUAAGAAUAAGGAUCGGCUAACUCCGUG